GGCUACCAUGCAAGUCGAACGGUAACAGAAGAGUAGCUUGCUACUUUGCUGACGAGUGGCGCACGGGUGAGUAAUAUAUAGAUAAUGUGCCCCUUGGACCGGGAUAGCCAUUGGAAACGAUGAUUAAUACCGGAUACUCCUUCUUACCAAAAGGUAAGUUGGGAAAUGGAUUCCGCCAAGGGAUCGGUCUAUAUCCCAUCAGCUAGUUGGUAGUGUAAGAGACUACCAAGGCGAUGACGGGUAGCGGGUUUGAGAGGAUGAUCCGCCACACUGGUACUGAGACACGGACCAGACUCCUACGGGAGGCAGCAGUGAGGAAUAUUGCACAAUGGGGGAAACCCUGAUGCAGCAACGCCGCGUGGAGGAUGACGCAUUUCGGUGUGUAAACUCCUUUUAUAUGUCAAGAAAAUGACGGUAGCAUAUGAAUAAGCACCGGCUAACUCCGUGCCAGCAGCCGCGGUAAUACGGAGGGUGCAAGCGUUAUUCGGAAUCACUGGGCGUAAAGGACGCGUAGGCGGGUUGGCAAGUCAGAUGUGAAAUCCUACAGCUUAACUGUAGAACUGCAUUUGAAACUGCCGACCUAGAGUAUGGGAGGGGGAGAUGGAAUUAGUGGUGUAGGGGUAAAAUCCGUAGAUAUCACUAGGAAUACCGAAAGCGAAGGCGAUCUCCUGGAACAUAACUGACGCUAAGGCGUGAAAGCGUGGGGAGCAAACAGGAUUAGAUACCCCUGGUAGUCCACGCCCUAAACGAUGUUCACUAGUCGUCGCUCUGCUAGUCAGGGCGGUAAUGCACUUAACAGAUUAAGUGAACCGCCUGGGGGAGUACGGNCGCAAGAUUAAAACUCAAAAGGAAUAGACGGGGGACCCGCACAAGUGGUGGAGCAUGUGGUUUUAAUUCGAAGAUACGCGAAAAAACCUUUACC
rnacentral:rRNA from 1 species